AGUGAACGCUGGCGGCGUGCUUAACACAUGCAAGUCGAACGAGAACGGAAUAUAGCUUGCUAUAUUUGUCAGCUAAGUGGCGCACGGGUGAGUAAUGUAUAGAUAACCUGCCCUUAAGAAAGGAAUAACAGUUGGAAACGACUGCUAAUGCCCUAUAUGCCUUUAAUACAUAAGUAUGCAAGGGAAACGCUUUAGUGCUUAAGAAUGGGUCUGUAUGGUAUCAGUUGGUUGGUGAGGUAAUGGCUCACCAAGGCUAUGACGCCUAACUGGUUUGAGAGGAUGAUCAGUCACACUGGAACUGAGACACGGUCCAGACUCCUACGGGAGGCAGCAGUGGGGAAUAUUGCACAAUGGACGAAAGUCUGAUGCAGCAACGCCGCGUGGAGGAUGACACAUUUCGGUGCGUAAACUCCUUUUAUAUAGGAAGAUAAUGACGGUACUAUAUGAAUAAGCACCGGCUAACUCCGUGCCAGCAGCCGCCGUAA
rnacentral:rRNA from 1 species